GAUGAACGCUGGCGGCGUGCCUAAUACAUGCAAGUCGAGCGAACAGACGAUGAGCUUGCUCCUCUGACGUUAGCGGCGGACGGGUGAGUAACACGUGGAUAACCUACCUAUAAGACUGGGAUAACUUCGGGAAACCGGAGCUAAUACCGGAUAAUAUAUUGAACCGCAUGGUUCAAUAGUGAAAGACGGUUUUGCUGUCACUUAUAGAUGGAUCCGCGCCGCAUUAGCUAGUUGGUAAGGUAACGGCUUACCAAGGCACCGAUGCGUAGCCGACCUGAGAGGGUGAGCGGCCACACUGGAACUGAGACACGGUCCAGACUCCUACGGGAGGCAGCAGUAGGGAAUCUUCCGCAAUGGGCGAGAGCCUGACGGAGCAACGCCGCGUGCGUGAUGAAGGUCUUCGGAUCGUAAAACUCUGUUAUUAGGGAAGAACAAAUGUGUAAGUAACUAUGCACGUCUUGACGGUACCUAAGCAGAAAGCCACGGCUAACUACGUG
rnacentral:rRNA from 1 species